GUUGGUGUUAUGGAUAGGAGUGUAUUAAUUAGCUUUGAGCAUCUGGGUGUUUAGAUUAUCUUCUUGAAAUGUUUAAAUGCUUAAAUGCUAUUAAUACACUCCUAUCCAUAACACCAACAAACACACCAUGGCCCAACCCAAUAUGAAGGUCUUACUUUUCUUCAUUGAAAUAAGAAGAAAGACUUUUGAGCAUGGCCACAGCAUUCUCACAGGUAGGUUUGAACAAAUGGAACACAUGUUCUUCUUCCUUAGCCUCCAUGAUUUCCACAUGUCCUUGCCAUCCACUCUUUUUCAGAUUCUCAUAGUAAUACCAACCUCUAUUUUUCAAGAUAUCCUUCUCAGCAACAAUCACAAGAACUCUGGAACAUCCCAACCUUGCCAAUUUUGGAUCAAAAGCUGGAUUAAUCAAAGGAUCAUCCAACCCACUUGUUGUUGGGCUUACAAAAAGCCACAUAGCAUCAAUCUUUGAUCUUGUUUCUGGAUCUUUAGGCUCAUCUCCCACAGGUUCUUUGCCCCAAAAAUAAGGAUGUAUUAGAACAAUCCCUUUGAGGAUAAUACCAGGCAAUUUCUCUUCAUCAUAUCUCAAGGCCAUAUGGUGGGAUAUAUUGGCACCAGCACUAUCUCCUGCAAGAAAAACCUUACCAAAAUCUGCAUGAAGAUUUAGCCACUCCUCAGGGCCAUUACCAUUAACAUGAGAAGCAACCCAUUGAAGAGCAGACCAUGAAUCAUCGUAUACAGUAGAGAGAGGAUGCUCUGGAGCUCUUCUAUAAUCAACAGAGACUG
rnacentral:misc_RNA from 1 species